rnacentral:rRNA from 1 species
ACCUAGUCCCACCACACCCCCAAGGGUAUUCAGCAGUGAUAGAUAUUGUCUAUAAGCGCUAGCUUGACCCAGUUAUAGAGAAGAGAGCCGGCCAACUUGGUGCCAGCCGCCGCGGCUAGACCAACUGGACUCAAAUUGAUAAUCCCCGGCGUUAAGCGUGAUUAAAGCCAUGAACAAAUUAGAGUUAAACCUACGUUGAGCAGUGAAAAGCACACGAUAGGGAAAUCCAAAAACGAAAGUUAUUCUAAUCCUUGCUUGAAUACACGACAGCUAGGGCACAAACUGGGAUUAGAUACCCCACUAUGCCUAGCCGUAAACUAUUAACCUACACCCACCCGCGCCAGGGAACUACGAGCUUUAGCUUAAAACCCAAAGGACUUGACGGUGUCCCACCCAACUAGAGGAGCCUGUUCUAUAAUCGAUGACCCCCGCUCCACCCAACCCCCCCUUGCUUUAUCAGCCUGUAUACCUCCGUCGUAAACCCGCCGUAUGAAUGUACCCAAGCGGAUUUAAUGGUCCCACACCAACACGUCAGGUCAAGGUGCAGCCAAUGGAAGAGGUAAGUGAUGGGCUACAAUUUCUAGUCUAGAACAAACGAAAUUCUGCAUGAAACACAGUUAUGAAGGAGGAUUUAGUAGUAAAAAGAAAGUAGCGUGUUCUUUUUAACAUGGCCCUGGGACGUGUACACA